rnacentral:rRNA from 1 species
GUCUUUUUGAUUUUAAUUUAAAGUCUGGCCUGCCCAAUGAGUAUUUUAAUGGCCGCAGUAUUUUGACUGUGCAAAGGUAGCAUAAUCAUUAGUUUCUUAAUUAGAAGCUGGAAUGAAAGGUUGGACGAGAAAAUAGCUGUCUCUUUAUAAAUUAGUUAGAAUUUUAUUUUUAAGUUAAAAAGCUUAGAUGUAUUUAAAAGACGAGAAGACCCUAUAGAGUUUUACUUAUUUUUUAUUAAAUAAUUUAUUUAGAAUAGAUUAAAUAUUAAGAUUUAGGUAAGUUUAGUUGGGGUGAUAGAAAAAUUUAAUAAACUUUUUUUUUAUAGUAACAUUUAUUUAUGAUUGAAUGAUCCAUUAAUUAUGAUUAUAAGAUUGAAUUACCUUAGGGAUAACAGCGUAAUUUUUUUAUAGAGUUCAAAUCACUAAAGAAGUUUGCGACCUCGAUGUUGGAUUAAAAUUUAUUUUUGGUGUAGAAGCUAGAAUAUUAGGUCUGUUCGACCUUUAAAAUUUUACAUGAUCUGAGUUUAAACCGGUGUGAGCCAGGUUGGUUUCUAUCUUUAAAUUAAUUUUUAUAUUUUAGUACGAAAGGACCAAAUAUACUGAAUAUUUUA